GAACAAACUCCGGACACAUCAUCUUUAAGAACUGUAACACUCACUGUGCAGGUCCGUAGCUUCAUUCUUGAAGUCAGUGAGACCAAGAACACACCGGAAGGAACCAAUUCUGGACACAUUUUGGUUACCGCAAAGGGACUAUCGCCUAUCACCAAGUGUUAAGGUGGCAGGAGUGGAAUCUUGGAUUCACCACACCCGAGUUAAAUUUUGGAUAUCCCCUGAGGAACCUGUGGGACCAUCAGCUCAGGAGUCCCAAGAUCAGCCAGACCAACCUCAAUACACCUGAGAACCAUUGGAGGACUUGCGUCUCCUAUUUUGGAAGGAAACAUCCCAGACUAAAAAGGCUCCUACCGCUGAUCCUGAAGAAAAACCCCUUCCUCCUUAAAAAAGAUAAGUGAAAACCUACAUAAUCUUUAACAUCUCUCCUUGCUCCUUUAAUGGAAUCCUUUUACUAUUUCAUCAUAUUAUUAAACAGCAUACUAACCAUACUCUUCAUGAUAGGACUAUAUACUGUAGCUCCUGCCAGGAUGACAAUAAAAUAGAACACAGGGAGUCACUCUGUUUGCUGCCAACACCCCUUUCCAGACACUCACCGGAGUUAGCUUGGCAAGUACUCUAGAAGUAUGAAAAAA